GAUGAACGCUGGCGGCGUGCUUAACACAUGCAAGUCGAACGAUGAAGCCCAGCUUGCUGGGUGGUUUAGUUGCGAACGGGCGAGUAACACGUGAGUAACCUGCCCUUUACUCUGUCAUAAGCGCUGGAAACGGCGUCUAUAACCUGAUACGAGCUUCCACCGCAGGGUGAGUUGCUGGAAAGAAUUUCGGUAUAGGAUGGUCGCGCGGCGUAUCGGGUAGGUCGUGAAGUAACGGCUGACGAAGCCGACGACGGAUAGCCGGCCUGGGAGGGUGACCGGCCACCAGGGGCCUGAGAGAGGCAGCAGACUCCAACGGGAGGCAGUGGUGGGGAGUAUUGCCCAGUGAGCGCAAGCCUGAUACGGCAACGCCGCGUGAGGGAAGAACGCCUUCGGGGCGUAAACAUCUUUUAGCAGGGACGAAGCGGUAGUGACGGUACCUGCAGAAAAAGCACCGGCUAACUACGUG
rnacentral:rRNA from 1 species